CAGGAGCGUGGGGUGGAGAAAAAAAACCAAGGUGUUUCGCCAAGAGUGAGGUUGAUGACCCAGAAGUAGUUCAGUACCCACUUAAUUAAAUUAUACUCGAGCCCGCAAAUUCAGACAUUGAUUUAUAGCUACUACUAAAAUACUAAUUAAUAAUUAUUCCCUGGAUUUACGAGUGAUCUACAAAGUAGAUGUAAAAAACACCCACUUUACUGUUUUUGUUCACCUGUUAUCUUUGCAGAUUCUCCAAAUAGCCAUUAAUAACCCAUCAAAACAGUGAAUUCUACCAAAUUUGGGCUCUUCCAACAUCGAUCUGUACAAGUCUCAGAAGAAAUAUUGCUAAAAUCUCAAAAAAAUUCCACCCAAAAACAACCCCAAAACAAAGAAGAUUUUUUUUGAAAAAAAGUUGACUUGGAAGAGAGAGAUGGUGGGAUGGAGAGAGAGUUGAGCAAAGAUUUCAAACUGGAAAAAUGGCGAGGAUUGAGUUUGGAACAAGAGUAAAAUGGGGUUGCUCUUAUAAAAGGAUAACUCUUAUUGUUUGUUCAAUCAACAUUGUUAUUGCUCUCUAUGUUCUUCACUGCCUUUACAGCUCUGUUUAUAUCUACUCCAAUAAUAAUUCUUCACAGGAUAAUGUCAAGUACACCCCAGAUCAAUUGAUGAGAAUGGAGGAAUCGGUCCGAAUUAGGAUAGCAUCAGAGCCUAUAGAGCUUGUCAAUUUGCUUGAGAAUUUAACAACCGUAUUAGCUGAACAAAAACGGAUGGUGAAACUACCCCUACAUUUAAAGCAGAUGAUUAGAGAUGAGAUCUUGCAACAGCUCAAAGCCCUACCUGCAAAUGCAAAUGUCACUGAGCAAAGAGAAGCAGUUGAAAGCUGGCGGCUGGCUAAACUUCGUGAAGCAAGACAACUGAUCCUUGGUGAAAAGAAUGUGACCUUGACAAUUUCACGUGAUCAUGCUGCAUUGCUAGUAGAGGCCAUGGAAUCAAAAUGGUCUUCUGUUAUGGAUGUACUUGGGUUGUGGAUACCACCUGUAAUCAUCCACAAGGAGCAUGACGAUAAGCCUCCAGGCUUAGAUGAAUUCGAAAACGACCCUUUACCUGGAAGGCCUGUUCCUCCUGAAUGUCAUGCUGAACUGCAUACAGAUUAUGAUGGCACUGCUGUUAGAUGGGGUCUAACCCACCACAAAGAGAGUGCAGCUGACUGUUGCCAGGCUUGCUUAGAUCAGGCAAAACGUGCCAAGUCUGGUGAUAAGAAAUGCAAUGUAUGGGUUUAUUGCCCAUCUGAGACAGGCUGUUAUUCUCCAGACAUCUAUGAACAUAAACAUCAGGAGUGCUGGCUGAAAUAUUCGGAAAAACCCAAAUUGAAUUUCAAAGACAAGUAUUCUGAAUCAUAUAGAAGCUCUCACCCAGGGGCACCGCUGUUUGUUCCAUGGGUUUCCGGGGUUGUACGUGCAUGAUUGGGCGCAGAUUGAAGUGAGUAAGCAAACAUUUUGAACUGGCCUAGCAGCAAAGAAUUAAUUUUCAGCUGAAUUCUCAAAAUAGACCAUCUUCAUCUGAUGCUGCUCUGCUGAAAUUUUUGACCAAUAUAUCAUUUGUACAUGGUAGGUUUGAGCACCGAAGUUGCACUACAAACCAAUCAUUGCGGGAUUGAAAUCCACUCAUGGAUCAAAACCAUCGUAGUUCAAUCUGUGUCUCACCCUAAAUGGUCAAUUUCAUUAGGAAAGAAAAGGAAAUAGAUUAUGAAUAACUCACCUUUACAAUUAAACAAAUCUACUGAAAAAUGAAGUAAUCACUCCAAUUACUGAUUGAAAUGGGAUCCAAAAAAUCACCCUAAUUAGUGAUUAAAAUAAAGGAUUAAGAUGAUCAUCUUAAUUAGUGAUUAAAGAAAGGAAAGAUAAUCACCUCAAUUGGUGAUCAAAAUGAGGUUUAGGAAAUAAUCGUCGUAAUUAGUGAUUAUUCAAGGUUUAAGAUAAUCACCCUAUUUAGUGAUUAAAUAUGAUGAAAGGUUAAGAUAAUCACCCUAAUUAGUGAUUAAUCAAGGUAUAAAUUAAUCACCUUAAUUAAUAAUUAAAUAUGAUAGACGGUUAAGAUAAUCACCCUAAUUAGUGAUUAAUCAAGGUUUAAAAUAAUCAUCCUAAUUAGUGAUUAAAUAUGAUGAAAGGUUAAGAUAUGCACCAAAAUUAAUGAUUAAUCAAAAUUUAAGAUAAUCACCCUAAUUAAUGAUUAAAUAUGAAGAAAGUAAUCACCUCAAUUAGUGAUUGGAUGUAAGUUGAAACAAUCACCUCAAUUAGCGACUAAACUUAGGAUUUUUCGAAAGAGGUCCUUUUAAAAAAGAGUUGUGCAUCCUAAUUGAAGGCUUUUGGAUGGAUGAGAAAUAAUAUUAUGUUAAGAUUAUUAAGUCAUUUUUAGCAAGAUAAUCAAUUUGCGAUGGAAUUUGGAGAUUGUGUUAGACUAAUCGAAAUUUGGUCAAUUAAAGCGAGACACAUGUGAAAUGGCCUAAAAUCAAUUGGGGGGGGGGGUGUUUCAUAAUUACCUUUCUAAUUAUAUGUCAAGUUAGAGUAUAUAAUUGAUCCAUUUGAAGAUGGAUGAAAAUUUUGAAAUUAAAAUAUAAGAUGGAUCAUCAUACAAUGUAACUUAGUUAGAUUUGCAAUUAAUCCUCUUAAUUGAGAUUGGGUCAUUUGAUUCAUAUACUACGAUAUAUUGGGCCCAGCAUGCAACAUUUAUAACAAUGGUUGCUCAUUUUAUUCAAAGAGAAUUGUAGAAUUAUUUAUGAUAAUUAUGCAUAAACAUCUCCACAUUUUCCGUUAAUUUAGUGAUGUAAUUACUAUUUAUAAAGAAACUAUUCUUACAACAAUAUGUACAAAUUCUAUGAUCUAUACAAAUCUUCAAUUUUGAUUUUCA